GACCAACUAAGUUAGUUCUUGGUAUGAGCUUUCGUGUGCAAGCACACUUCUUCAGAUACACUGAAACAGAAGUUGCCAGAUCAGUGUAUCUGAAGAAGUGUGCUUGCACACGAAAGCUCAUACCAAGAACUAACUUAGUUGG
rnacentral:miRNA from 1 species